GAUGAACGCUGGCGGCGUGCUUAACACAUGCGAGUCGAACGAGAGAAGAUCGGUGCUUGCACUGAUCCGAUCGAGUGGCGGACGGGUGAGUAACGCGCGGGUAACCUGCCUCAUACAGGGGAAUAACAGUUGGAAACGGCUGCUAAAACCGCAUAAGCGCACAGUAUCGCAUGAUAAAGUGUGAAAAACUCCGGUGGUAUGAGAGGGACCCGCGUCUGAUUAGCUAGUUGGUGAGGUAACGGCCCACCAAGGCAACGAUCAGUAGCCGGCCUGAGAGGGUGAACGGCCACAUUGGGACUGAGACACGGCCCAAACUCCUACGGGAGGCAGCAGUGGGGAAUAUUGCACAAUGGGGGAAACCCUGAUGCAGCGACGCCGCGUGAGUGAUGAAGUAUUUCGGUAUGCAAAGCUCUAUCAGCAGGGAAGAUAAUGACGGUACCUGACUAAGAAGCACCGGCUAAAUACGUGCCAGCAGCCGCAGUAA
rnacentral:rRNA from 1 species